rnacentral:sRNA from 1 species
AUUUGCCAAUUCUCCUUUCUCUCUCUAAAACCCCUUUUCCCAAAUUCUUUUCUGCCUUCUCUCUAGCCUCCACACUGAUUUAGCCAUUACAUGUUCCGUUAGGUGGUACCCUAGCGACCGUCUCGUAGAGAGCUUCAAAACCAUCCGAUUGGUUUUACGUUCUUCCGCCGGGCACUGUUUAAGUUCUUCCCGGGGUAGGAUACUGUUGAAAGUUGUGUUGUGUGCUAGACUGCUCAACUUUAAGAGGGAGAUGAGGCAUCUGUGGAGUAGGAGCUGGAGGGUGCCAAUGCUGUUGAGUAGCAUAGGAGCUUAUAAAUUUACCUACUUCUAUUCUUUUGAAAUACUCUACUCUUUUGUAAUUCAAGUUUUAAUUUCCUAGCUCUUUUGGAAGGAUAAAUGUAAUCCUAUUGCCAUAAUCACUUGUCC